UAACGCGAAGAACCUUACCAAGGCUUGACAUAUACCGGAAAGCAUUAGAGAUAGUGCCCCCCUUGUGGUCGGUAUACAGGUGGUGCAUGGCUGUCGUCAGCUCGUGUCGUGAGAUGUUGGGUUAAGUCCCGCAACGAGCGCAACCCUCGUUCCAUGUUGCCAGCACGUAGUGGUGGGGACUCAUGGGAGACUGCCGGGGUCAACUCGGAGGAAGGUGGGGACGACGUCAAAUCAUCAUGCCCCUUAUGUCUUGGGCUUCACGCAUGCUACAAUGGCCGGUACAAAGGGUUGCGAUACUGUGAGGUGGAGCUAAUCCCAAAAAGCCGGUCUCAGUUCGGAUUGGGGUCUGCAACUCGACCCCAUGAAGUCGGAGUCGCUAGUAAUCGCAGAUCAGCAACGCUGCGGUGAAUACGUUCCCGGGUCUUGUACACACCGA
rnacentral:rRNA from 1 species